rnacentral:rRNA from 1 species
GUAGGAGCAGGCUUGUCCUGUGACUGCGUACCUUUUGUAUAAUGGGUCAGCGACUUAUAUUCAGUGGCAAGGUUAACCAUCUAGGGGAGCCGUAGGGAAACCGAGUCUUAACUGGGCGUUCAGUCUCUGGAUAUAGACCCGAAACCAGGUGAUCUAGCCAUGGGCAGGUUGAAGGUUGAGUAACAUCAACUGGAGGACCGAACCGACUAAUGUUGAAAAAUUAGCGGAUGACUUGUGGCUAGGGGUGAAAGGCCAAUCAAACCUGGAGAUAGCUGGUUCUCCCCGAAAGCUAUUUAGGUAGCGCCUCGGACGAAUACUACUGGGGGUAGAGCACUGUUAAGGCUAGGGGGUCAUCCCGACUUACCAACCCUUUGCAAACUCCGAAUACCAGUAAGUACUAUCCGGGAGACACACGGCGGGUGCUAACGUCCGUCGUGGAGAGGGAAACAACCCAGACCGCCAGCUAAGGUCCCAAAUUACUACUAAGUGGGAAACGAUGUGGGAAGGCUCAGACAGCCAGGAUGUUGGCUUAGAAGCAGCCAUCAUUUAAAGAAAGCGUAAUAGCUCACUGGUCGAGUCGGCCUGCGCGGAAGAUGUAACGGGGCUAAGUAGU